GAAAGAGGGGAAUGUGAGGAGAAAGUACAAGGUCAGGAAGAACCAGUUUUUCCUUCAUUAUGAUUUGAUGGCCACCUGUGACUCACCUGUGUGGUGCUACCUGUGGAAUAAGGCUCUUUGUAUUUCUGGACAAAGAUCUGAGGAAUCUAUCUGGAUUGAUGACACGAUCUUCCAAAGAGCUGAUUGGGCACCUGUCUGCCAGGAAGAGCAACUUGAUGUUCAGCCCCUUACCCAGUAACAUUGAACUGAUCAACCUACUAAUAAGCUGAGUGACCUUUUCAGUCAAAUCCAAUUCUCAGGUCCACCUCAUCCCCCUGAUCUCAGCAAGCUGAGGAAAGCUGGAGUCAUCAUCUAACACCCGCACCAGAAAGCCAGAUCCUGACAUUUAAAUAAAAGAUGGUGCUUCUCAAAAGAAAUGCUGGACUUCAUAGAAAAUCUGAUAACACCGAAUGGCUUUUUCCUCGAUUUCAUAACAAGAUUCUCACUUGAAGGAAGCAUUAUUUUUAUCUCCUGUGCUACAUUGCCAGAAAAUUAAAUAUUUAUGGGCUUCUUUCCCCAUAUUUACAUACAAUGUGUUUAAUCUCUGUAGGUUACUCUUUUUCAAGGGCAGUUUUUUUUAUCAUGCCAAUUCACUAACCUCUCAAUUUAAAUGUGCUGUUGAAUUUCAAGUGUCUACUUGGCUUUGGCACUUCAGCACUGAAUGAAACAAGCACAAAUUAUGUAAGGUAAGUUCCCUUUCGGAUUUGUGCACCUUAGACAUUUGAAAGUGAGACCAUUGUCAUGUAAUGUCAUUGUCAAAAGACAGCAGCUGAUGAAUAUUUCAUCCCUCCUGCCUACCAAAUCUUUCCUGCAUGCAUACAGAUGUUCACUGCAUUAAAACAUUGUCGUGGCCCGCGGUGUUUCUGGUAUAGAGGGUUUGGUAUGUUCAUGUGUGCAAGUCAGUGAUAAAGCCACAGUUGGCUGCACAAAGUAAAAUCUUAUUUUCAAGUUACUGAACAAACUGAAAGACCAGCUUUUGAUUUGAUCAAAGCAGCUGAAUGUGGAAAAGCUUUUUCCUUUUACAAUAUGAUAAAAUUUAUAAAUCACUCAAACUUUAGUUCUGUGAAAUAUUUUAUGAGCCAGAUAACCUGGGAUUGGGUCAAAUUGGGCAAGAGAUGUGGUUCAUUAGCUCAUAAAAAGGUGACGUAUAUAAGUCUCAACCCAAAAUGAUUCCUUGCUUGUGUACUCCUUGCUAUUAGUACCGGUAAUCUAUUUCUGAAUGUGUAAAAAUGCCCUGUCCUUCUUGGUUCAUAAAGUACUACAGAUACAUAUGAGCAUGGUGUCCGUUCAUUGGUUUCCUCCUCUGCACCACCAUUCAGCUGCCUCAUUCCCUGGAGGCCACCUUGGCAUUAUGAGGUAUGAGCACAGCUCUUCUGGAGCCAUUUGGCCUCUUGCAGAAAGGUUGCCACAAAUCCGCCAUGCACAGGCGGGAGAAGCUGUGAAGCACAGGCGGGAGAAGCUGUGAAGCAAGCCAGGAUUUUACAAGAGAUUUGUUGAUGUCAUUGUUGUUUUUUUCCAAAUAAAUCCUCAGG